rnacentral:rRNA from 1 species
ACUACGAGAGGCAGCAGUGAGGAAUAUUGGUCAAUGGGCGGAAGCCGGAACCAGCCAAGUCGCGGGAGGGAAUAAGGCCCUACGGGUCGUAAACCUCUUUUGCCGGGGAGCAAGGGCGGGGACGUGUCCCGGCCCGGAGAGUACCCGGAGAAAAAGCAUCGGCUAACUCCGAGCCAGCAGCCGCGGUAAUACGGAGGAUGCGAGCGUUAUACUGAUUUAUUGGGUUUAAAGGGUGCGUAGGCGGGCUAUUAAGUCAGCGGUAAUAGUUCGGGGCUCAACACCGUCCGGCCGUUGAAACUGGUGGCCUUGAGUGGGCGAGAAGAAGGCGGAAUGCGUGGUGUAGCGGUGAAAUGCAUAGAUAUCACGAAGAACUCCGAGUGCGAAGGCAGCUUACUAAACUGCCACUGACAUUGAUGCUCGAAAGUGUGGGUAUCAAACAGGAUUAGAUACCCGGGUAGUC